UGAACAUCUAGAUAAUGGCCAGCACAGGCUGACCACACUGGAACCCACCUGGGAAAGCGUGCAUUCGCCUCCUAUCUCUCUGGGGCUGUCUGCAUCCUGUCCCCUGCAGCAAGGGCGUCUCCCAGCCCCAGCCCCUGUGAGAGCACAGAGGAGGGCGGAAAUGACACUGACCACCAAGAGAUCCUCUUGAGGGGGGGCGCUGGCAGGGGGUGGAAGCACAUACUUCUUAUAGAGAGGCUGCCAGCCCCUGCUUUCAGAGCCCUGCCACCCCCACAGUACCUGAUGCUCCCACCCCAGCCCCAGGUCUUCCUCAGCCCAGGGACAAGCCGGUUUUCUCUGGCUUCCUUCCUCCUGCAGGUCAGCCUGGCCAGCUUCCCAAGGCUAGGAACUAAUUGCUGCACUCAUCCUGUGAUCACCCAGCUCUAGACAACAGACCUGCCACCCUGCUGUGUCCACUGAGACAGCGCCCUACAACUUGCUGUGUCCAUCCAUUGCUGUGCUGACAGAGCAGUCUCGUGACUGCUGUAAAGGGGACAUUUCCUUCAUAUGUGAAACAUGCUCUUUGAGGGUAUAUAACCACUCUGUACACCCCACUUCUUGGGUACUCAUCCUUCCUUGGGGAUGGAAGACCUCGGGCUACAUGGUCCUCAUAUUUGUCUCAGAAUAAACUCACCUCAAUUUUCAUUUAUAGAUUGGUUACAGAUUACUUUCGUCAACACCUGGGAACUCUGUUCAGGGCCACUGGGGCACUGAGAGGAGGGUUGUCUCCCAGCAGAGGCCCUGGGAGAUGAGUUGGAAGAGAGCGAGCCUUCUCAUGCCCAGGGUCAUAGCUGAGGUCAGGUCCCCAGUGGACAUUCCAUUGCCCCAUCUCACCUGCAGGAACCCCCUGAAGUUUGCUCUGGGGAACCCCAUCCCGAGAGAUGUUAAUAGGGGUCGGAGUGGGGCGGGGAGGAGAGGGGUGCCACGGGAAACGAGUUUGGAGACCAGGCUGCCUCUCAAGGAAAACUCCUGCCUGAGAGGGUUCUCCUCGUCCAGAGCUGGAGUCAGGCCAAGGACGGGAGGCGGCAGCGUCCACAGGGUGGGUCUCCGGGAGCCAUAACCAGGCUCACAGGAUGAG
rnacentral:lncRNA from 1 species